rnacentral:tRNA from 1 species
AUUAGAAUAGUUUAAUUAAAACAUUGAUUUGUGGAGUCAAAAAUAUGGAUGAAUUCAUUUUUAAUU